CAGUCGCCGCGGUAAUACGGAGGGUGCAAGCGUUAAUCGGAAUUACUGGGCGUAAAGCGUGCGUAGGCGGUUCGUUAAGUCUGUUGUGAAAGCCCCGGGCUCAACCUGGGAAUGGCAAUGGAUACUGGCGAGCUAGAGUGUGUCAGAGGAUGGUGGAAUUCCGGGUGUAGCGGUGAAAUGCGUAGAGAUCGGGAAGAACAUCAGUGGCGAAGGCGGCCAGCUGGGACAACACUGACGCUGAGGCACGAAAGCUUGGGGAGCAAACAGGAUUAGAUACCCCAGUAGUCCCUGUCUCUUAUAC
rnacentral:rRNA from 1 species